rnacentral:rRNA from 1 species
CGUAGAGAAAUCGAGUCUUAAUAGGGCGUUUAGUUGCUGGGUAUAGACCCGAAACCAGGCGAUCUAUCCAUGAGCAGGUUGAAGGUUGGGUAACACUAACUGGAGGACCGAACCCACUGUCGUUGAAAAGCCAGGGGAUGACUUGUGGAUAGGGGUGAAAGGCUAAUCAAGCCUGGUGAUAGCUGGUUCUCCCCGAAAGCUAUUUAGGUAGCGCCUCGGACGAAUACCAUAGGGGGUAGAGCACUGUUUCGGCUAGGGGGUCAUCCCGACUUACCAAACCGAUGCAAACUCCGAAUACCUAUGAGUACUAUCCGGGAGACAGACUGCGGGUGCUAACGUCCGUAGUCAAGAGGAAAACAAUCCAGACCGCCAGCUAAGGCCCCAAAAUCAUAGUUAAGUGGGAAACGAUGUGGGAAGGCAUAGACAGCUAGGAGGUUGGCUUAGAAGCAGCCACCCUUUAAAGAAAGCGUAAUAGCUCACUAGUCGAGUCGGCCUGCGCGGAAGAUGUAACGGGGCUAAAACUAUGUGCCGAAGCUGCGGAUGUAUACUUUGUAUACGUGGUAGGGGAGCGUUCUGUAAGCCGAUGAAGGUGUGUUGAGAAG